rnacentral:rRNA from 1 species
GCAGUAGCCGCGGGAAUACGGAGGGUGCAAGCGUUAAUCGGAAUUACUGGGCGUAAAGCGCACGCAGGCGGUCUGACAAGUCAGAUGUGAAAUCCCCGGGCUUAACCUGGGAACUGCAUUUGAAACUGUCAGGCUGGAGUCUUGUAGAGGGGGGUGGAAUUCCAGGUGUAGCGGUGAAAUGCGUAGAGAUCUGGAGGAAUACCGGUGGCGAAGGCGGCCCCCUGGACAAAGACUGACGCUCAGGUGCGAAAGCGUGGGGAGCAAACAGGAUUAGAGACCCCUGUAGUCCCUGUCUCUUAUAC